UACGUAGGGGGCAAGCGUUGUCCGGAUUUAUUGGGCGUAAAGAGCGUGUAGGCGGCCAGGUAGGUCGGCUGUGAAAACUCGAGGCUCAACCUCGAGCUGUCGGCCGAAACCAUCUGGCUAGAGUCCGGAAGAGGAGAGUGGAAUUCCUGGUGUAGCGGUGAAAUGCGCAGAUAUCAGGAGGAACACCGAUGGCGAAGGCAGGUCUCUGGGCCACUACUGACGCUGAGAAGCGAAAGCGUGGGGAGCGAACAGG
rnacentral:rRNA from 1 species